rnacentral:rRNA from 1 species
UAAUGCAUCGGAACGUACCUCGUAGUGGGGGAUAACUCGGCGAAAGCCGUGCUAAUACCGCAUAUGCUCUACGGAGGAAAGCAGGGGACCUUAACCGGCCUUGUGCUAUGGGAGCGGCCGAUGUCCGAUUAGCUAGUUGGUGGGGUAAUGGCCUACCAAGGCGACGAUCGGUAGCUGGUCUGAGAGGAUGAUCAGCCACACUGGGACUGAGACACGGCCCAG